AUUUUUGAAAUUUUUGCUAUUUCCAUGGUAACGGGUACCAUUUCCAAAAUUCCAAAGACAGGUGCCACUUUGGGACAUGCCAUGUUACAUAUACAUGAAGUUGUAGAAGGUUCGAUCUUAUAUUGUUGCAGGAAAUGCAGCUUCAAUGUGUUUUCCCAUAGGGCCAAUGUUAAACUUUCGCCCUGUUUCCAUGACAAUGGCGGCCAUUUUGGAAUUUCCUAAUAUUGUCACAACAUCUAGACAUACCAGGGAACAUUACCAUAAAGUUUCAUCCAGCUAGGUCUUAUAAUGAAAGAUUUAGAAUUCGCAUUUUUUUUUCACAUUUUAUCAGUUUCCAUGGCAACAGCAGCCAUCUUGAUGAUGCCAUACCCUGUUUUCAAAACUUCAUAUGCUGGGUAACAUUAUGGUAUAGUUCCAUGACCAUUCGAUCAUACAGUGCCAAGUUAUGGCCUGGACAAAAAGCGUGGAAGAAAAAUAAAAAUAACUAGAUUUGCCAUUGCAAGCAAUAGCGGAUGGCACCCUUCCCCCAUUGCCAGGCGAGCGGCAGCCAUUUUGAAAAUUCCAAAGUCAAAG
rnacentral:lncRNA from 1 species